CGAUGAUCGUUUAUUUUUUUUAUUUUUUUCUCUAAAGAAUCGAAUCUGUCGCAGAAGAUCCACGAUAAAAGAUUGAUCAAGUUAUGUGUUUUGUGAAAAUCGUUAAUUCGAAUUUAGCCUUGUUUCGUUCCAGAAAAGAUAGGAGAUAAUCGCGAGAGAAAGGGAGUUCGUGGAAUACGUCAUUUCGCUUUGCCUUCGCUGCAAGGAAGACCUCUCUGUGUACGAAGGAUUAACAAUCUUUCCUCUCUAAAGUGACAGAGAGAUAGAGAAAAGCUCUGGAACCCAGAAAGCCGUCCGCACGGUUCUGAGGACGAGGCACCAGGACGAGGCGCCAUUGGGAGAGUCAUUCGAAGAGCCAUACGAAACGCUCGUUGAAAGGACCGAAGAGGAAAAAGGGCGAGGCGCGCUCCGCUUCGUUUCCAUGACGACCAAUCAUUACCGAAGAUCGUACCGCCACCUAUCCGUACCCUCUCUUGCCGCAAACCACCGAAACCACCCUCUCUUCUACCCCUCCCUGACCGACCGACCAACUAUCACCCUUCUGACUACGGACUUGCUUUCACGUGUUCUUAUUUUCUUUCUACCAUAUAUUUAUGAAAAUGAAUCUAAUCGCUUUCUUUUAUAAUUAUGCAAUUUGAUUAUCCUCUCUUGUUAAUGAUAUAUACAUAUAUAUAUAUAUAUCUUUCCUCCUUGUUUUUCUUACAUUAUAAAUAAUUGUGGCAAAUUAAAUAAGAGGAAAUUAGUCAAAUGAAAUUAAUUCGAACGACAGCUUCGAUGGGAAUAACAAAUUCGUCGAUCGUUCUGCCAUUUUUGCAUAUGCGUAAUAAUGAACGAUAUUAUUUUUGUCCUUACGCAAAUCGAUGAAUGCAAAUACGUACGCCUCGCGAGAGUUUCU